rnacentral:rRNA from 1 species
GACGAACGCUGGCGGCGUGCUUAACACAUGCAAGUCGAGCGGAAAGGCCCUUUCGGGGGUACUCGAGCGGCGAACGGGUGGGUAACACGUGAGUAAUCUGCCCUUGGCUUUGGGAUAACCACCGGAAACGGUGGCUAAUACCGGAUACGACCACUCCCGGCAUCGGGUGGUGGUGGAAAGUUUUUUCGGCCAGGGAUGUGCUCGCGGCCUAUCAGCUUGUUGGUGGGGUAAUGGCCUACCAAGGCUUCGACGGGUAGCCGGCCUGAGAGGGUGACCGGCCACACUGGGACUGAGACACGGCCCAGACUCCUACGGGAGGCAGCAGUGGGGAAUAUUGGACAAUGGGCGGAAGCCUGAUCCAGCAACGCCGCGUGAGGGAUGACGGCCUUCGGGUUGUAAACCUCUUUCAGUACCGACGAAGCGCCGAUGAUGGCGGUGACGGUAGGUACAGAAGAAGCACCGGCCAACUACGUGCCAGCCGCCGCAGUAA